rnacentral:rRNA from 1 species
GGUGAACGCUAGCGGGAGGCCUAACACAUGCAAGCCGAGCGGUAUUGUUUCUUCGGAAAUGAGAGAGCGGCGUACGGGUGCGGAACACGUGUGCAACCUGCCUUUAUCUGGGGGAUAGCCUUUCGAAAGGAAGAUUAAUACUCCAUAACAUAUUGAACGGCAUCGUUUAAUAUUGAAAGCUCCGGCGGAUAGAGAUGGGCACGCGCAAGAUUAGCUUGUUGGUGAGGUAACGGCUCACCAAGGCGAUGAUCUUUAGGGGGCCUGAGAGGGUGAUCCCCCACACUGGUACUGAGACACGGACCAGACUCCUACGGGAGGCAGCAGUGAGGAAUAUUGGUCAAUGGGUGCAAGCCUGAACCAGCCAUCCCGCGCGAAGGACGACUGCCCUAUGGGUUGUAAACUUCUUUUGUAUAGGGAUAAACCUACCCUCGUGAGGGUAGCUGAAGGUACUAUACGAAUAAGCACCGGCUAACUCCGUGCCAGCCGCCGCGGUAAUAC